AUUGCUGAUGAGUCCCAAACAGGACGAAACGCGCGUCCUGAAU
rnacentral:hammerhead_ribozyme from 1 species